rnacentral:rRNA from 1 species
GACGAACGCUGGCGGCGUGCUUAACACAUGCAAGUCGAACGGAAAGGCCCUGCUUUUGUGGGGUGCUCGAGUGGCGAACGGGUGAGUAACACGUGAGUAACCUGCCCUUGACUUUGGGAUAACUUCAGGAAACUGGGGCUAAUACCGGAUAGGAGCUCCUGCUGCAUGGUGGGGGUUGGAAAGUUUCGGCGGUUGGGGAUGGACUCGCGGCUUAUCAGCUUGUUGGUGGGGUAGUGGCUUACCAAGGCUUUGACGGGUAGCCGGCCUGAGAGGGUGACCGGCCACAUUGGGACUGAGAUACGGCCCAGACUCCUCCGGGAGGCAGCAGUGGGGAAUAUUGAACAAUGGGCGGAAGCCGGAUGCAGCACCGCCGCGUGCGGGAUGACGGCCUUCGGGUUGUAAACCGCUUUCGCCUGUGACGAAGCGUGAGUGACGGUAAUGGGUAAAGAAGCACCGGCUAACUACGU